ACAACUUUCAACAACGGAUCUCUUGGUUCUGGCAUCGAUGAAGAACGCAGCGAAAUGCGAUAAGUAGUGUGAAUUGCAGAAUUCAGUGAAUCAUCGAAUCUUUGAACGCACAUUGCGCCCUUUGGUAUUCCAUGGGGCAUGCUUGUUCGAGCGUCAUU
rnacentral:rRNA from 1 species